AUGGGGAAAAAGCUACCCCCUUCUACUCCGACGGCGGGAAGGCGGCGCAAAGGUCCCUCCUUGGCCCCGCUCUCCGCCUGCAAGCGCCGGCGGACCCAUGAGGCAAGCGGCUGGGCUUCCCUCCCCACCGAUGUGGUUCACCUCGUCACCAGCCGCCUGCUGGCCGGCGACGUGGUGGACUACAUCGUCUUCCGGGCCGUCUGCUCCGGCUGGCGCAGCUGCACGAGCGACGCGCGCGACCCCACGCUGAGCAAACCGGACCUCUGGCCGCGCGGCUGGGUCGCCCUCUGCGACGGCGACGGGGUACGCCCGGACGACGCCGGCGAGAUCGGCUUCUUCCACACGCGGACGGCCAGGCGCCUCCGCGUCCGCCUGCCGGAGCUCCGGCGCCACAGGAUCGUCGGUUUCACCCAGGGACUGAUCAUUCUUCUGAACAAACGCACCGCCGCCGUCCGGGUGCUGCAUCCCUUCACACGGGUCGUGGUCGACCUCCCGUCCCUCGUCCCUGUGUUCCACGACGCCGUCAGGAACCGGAACUCUCUGCUUGACAUGAAUGCCGCGGUCUGCAGCGCGUCCGCGACCUCCAUUGCCGUGGUGGCAUGGUUCCCGUGGACACAUGUGGUGAUCGGCGCCGAGGCUGGCCGCCCAACUUGGGAGGUCCUCCACCGAGGGCUUUUCCUUAGGAGCAUCCUGCCCUUCCAAGGAAGGCUUUACGCGACAGUCGGCGAGGGUGGCUCAAGGAAGAUCAUGCAGCUGUAUCCGAGAUCACCACAUCCUGUGCUUGCUCAUGUUCCAAAUAAUUUUGGUGAUCCGAGCCUAUGCAGCUACUUCCUCGUGGAGUCUGGUGGGCGAGUGCUGCUUGCCAUCCGCCAUUUAACUGCACAACAUUGUGGCGUGGACCCCUUCCAGCAAAAUGCCUAUAAGCUAUUUGCGUUGGACAUCGACCGCGGUGAGCUGAUCCCAGUGAACUGCCUCGGUGGCCGCGCGCUGUUCCUCAGCAGGGAUCGGUCCCUCUCUGUUUCAGCCAGGGACCUCCCUUCUGUGAACAGCAACUCCAUUUACUUCUCUUUGCGCCGUGACCCUGUUGUGGUGCACUCCAUAAGGACAGGUUUCUCUGAGCGGCUAGCAGUGACAUGCCAAAUACAUGAUGGGAAGGAUAGGAUCCGACCCUCCGUGCGCCCCUUCACCAUUGCUGACCAUCUUCUAACCUACUGCCAUCCUCAUGAGUGGACAAAAGGACUCAUGUUUCAUGAGUACCACUCCAUACCUGAAUCUUUUGAGGAAUUGACGAAGAACAUCAAGGCAAAAAAUUCCGAACUACGGAUUCCUCGCAUUGCGGCUCGUUGA
rnacentral:rRNA from 1 species